rnacentral:lncRNA from 1 species
UUCGAAAUGGAAUAGUUAAAGCAUGCUUUCUCUUAAAGUUCUGAACCAGUAACUUCAUCCAAACGCUGAAAAUUAGAACUACACUAAACUAAACACUUAAUAAUCAUGUCACAAGGCAUUAUACUCUAGCACUUUUAAUUACUUCGUUCCAUAAAGGAACUUCCCAGCAAACCUCCAAAAUGAAAAUUAUGAGGCUCACGUUAGCCUCCUUAACACUCACAGAUGCAGCAAAUCAUAAACACUAUAGUGGCAGCCCCUUUUAUUACAAAAUUCAAAUUCUCAGCAAUAGUAAAGGCAACUAAAAAACAUAGUGAAAAGUGAGUCAUUGCCGAAGGUGAAUCAAUUAUAACCUUCUCACAUACAUCUAACACCAAUUAAUACCACUACGAAGAUAUGUAACUUAAACAAAUUUAAUAUUCAGAAAUAAGACAUGAAACUAAAAAAAAACUAAUUCAAAGAAAAUGGUGCAGCACUUUCACAUUCCAAAAUCCAACUCUCCAUUACAUUCAAGUGAUAUCCAUAAGUGUCAAGGAAUACCUGGAUAGAGUAAGAAACAAAGAGGUAAAAGGAUCAGUAGUCUAGAGCAGUAAAACGAGCAGCAGAAUUCGAAGCCAGAUCCAGCAAAAACAUCAUAAAUAGCCAACGGAAACCAAUGGAACAGUAACUUCCCAACAGAAUUUGACCCAAAACUUGAAGAACUCCAAAUUUAAAGUAUCUCAAUCUUAGAAGGAACCAAAGAUGUUUUAAUCUAAAAAUUUCAACACUCAAACCGCAGAUAUUAAUGGAGUCCUAUUUCUUAGAUUUUUGUAGCCGUGAGUAUUUUCUUAGAAUUUUAUCUCUUUAGGUCUUCCCUAAACUUUUAAAUUUUUGUGUGUGUUUUAAGAUUUCCAGCUUCUAAUCCCUAGCUUGAAAAGCAAGUUUGCAAUGCCUUUAUAGGCAAGCAAAUAGGGCAUCCCUCUGUUUUUAGUUUUGCACCCCUAGUCCCUCUUUUAUUUCCAAAUUUUAACUGUUUAGUCCCUUAUUUGUUAGCUUAUAGCUCAAGUUUUAAUACUAAGCUACUGAAAUUUUAAAUAAAACCCUCUUCUAGAAUAGUCUAAGAAGUUCCAGUUUCAACUACAGCACUAUUCUCUAUUUGGGAAUGCAUAUACUAACCUUUACUUAAUCUAAAAUUUACCAAACCAGCCAAACUAACUCUCAACUUGUUAACCUUAGUCCAAACUAAUCAAAGUUAGUCAAAGCAGGGUUGGGGUAUUCAGCUAUAUCCAAACCAAUCUAGAAAAGAAAAUCAAUUUACCUAAACACAUUAAUUCUAACCAACCUAGGAUAAUCGAUGAACUAACCAUAAACGCACAGGACUAAGAUCAAUUCAACCAUAACAUCCUUGAAUCAAUUAAUUGAAACCAAAUACAAAAUCAAAACAAAACAGAAUCAAAUCAAAACUACUAAAACAAAUCAGAAUUAACAUGAAGAAAAAUAUAACCAGCUGAAAAAGACUUACUGACUUAAAACAGAUGAUGACUCAAAGUAAUUAAAUCAUGAAGCAAAACAAUCAUGGGAGUGAAAUUAAUUCAAAUAACAAAAUAAACAAUUAAGAAAAUUCACUAGUUUUGAGUGUUUAACUUGGCUGACCUUGAAUUUGAUCCUCGAAUAAUGUUAUGCACUUGUUCUUUACCAAGAACAAUACAUAGCAUUAUUCAAGACCCAAGUCAAACACUGGCGACCUUGGAAAGCCGAACAGCCUUGAACGGAACCCUAUAUUUAAGAAUUGUGCAAUUCUGGAUGGUUUCGAAGGAAACUAAUGACAUAUUAAGCAUGAGGGAGGGAAAGGGGUUAUGGGGUGUUGUUUUGGAGGUAUUUGGGUGAUUUUGGAGUUUGACCGUUUCCUUUGAUUUAAGAUUCGAACACUUCAACUAGGAUUUGAGGGAAAUUUAGUAUAGAUUUGGAAAGAGGAGAAGGAGAAGUACCUAGGGUGUUAAUCUGGUAACAUUUAGAGGUGGCCCCGCCGUGGACGGCGAAGGCGGCAACCACGAAUUUGGAUAUUCGACGGGCUUGGCUAGGUUUUGGAGGAAACUGAUGGUGGGGGUGGAAAGGGGAAGUGGAGAGGGCGUUUGGUGUCCGGUUGUCGCCGUUAGGCGAUUUUCGGCGGUGAUUUUAGGGUGGUGGAUGGUGGAGCAUCUCUGGUUAGAAUGGGAGUGAGAGAGACAAGACUUGGGGGUAGGGGGCUCCGACACUUUUUACUCAAGACACCCUAUCUUUCUGAGUCAUAGGGUCCAAGAUUCUCGAC